CUGGUUACCAGUAGCCCAGAAGGAUGGGGAGGAGGAUGGGGCAUGAUCAGGGGAGACUCAGGGAUCCCAACUGUGUGUCAGGAGAGACUCUCGGUAUAGGAAAUGAACAACAUAAACCGUGAGCGCGGCAGACGCACCUUCGCUUCAGCAGAGAUUGUGCUCCCGCGGAACAAGGGCUGCACACAGGUAUGUUCUAGAAGAAUUUUCCAUCAUGUAAAAAAAGCAUGACAUUAAGGAUAUGAUGUGUAUCAAUCUACAUGGUAAUAAAUUGUGCAGGAAGACUCUGACAGAGACAGUCAAUGUAAAAAACUAAAAGAUUGAUACAGAAGAUUGCCUAUUAUUACUAAUGUUUCCAGAGCGGCAUAGACUACUGUUGGUUUUCGACCAUCUUCUAUAGAUUUGAAGUCUCCCUGUCAGCCAUGAAAUCAAAGACAUGACCAUGUUGUCACCCUCGCUUUGGUGCUUCCCAUGUUAUUAACUGUUGUAAAACCAAUACAGCCCCAGGCCAGCUAUCUGCAGUUCCAGGAAGCUAUCACACUUGCUGGGAACACUAGAAGAGCAUGCGACUUUUGUGUUAGAUAACGGAGUUAUUACUUUGGACAUUUUAACCUCAUCUUCAAUAAUUACUAUAUAUAUAGAAGGAAUACAAAAGCAGUGAUGUACUGUUAGUAAUUAUUCAGACUUCUGGGCACCUGGUAUGGAAUAUCCCCCUUUUUGACUGCUCAUAUCCUUAUAUAAAACUUAAUAAC